CAACAGGGAUUGCCCUAGUAACGGCGAGUGAAGCGGCAACAGCUCAAAUUUGAAAUCUGGCUCUUUCAGAGUCCGAGUUGUAAUUUGCAGAGGGCGCUUUGGCUUUGGCAGCGGUCCAAGUUCCUUGGGACAGGACGUCACAGAGGGUGAGAAUCCCGUACGUGGUCGCUAGCUAUUGCCGUGUAAAGCCCCUUCGACGAGUCGAGUUGUUUGGGAAUGCAGCUCUAAAUGGGAGGUAAAUUUCUUCUAAAGCUAAAUAUUGGCCAGAGACCGAUAGCGCACAAGUAGAGUGAUCGAAAGAUGAAAAGCACUUUGGAAAGAGAGUCAAACAGCACGUGAAAUUGUUGAAAGGGAAGCGCUUGCAGCCAGACUUGCUUGCAGUUGCUCAUCCGGGCUUUUGCCCGGUGCACUCUUCUGCAGGCAGGCCAGCAUCAGUUUGGGCGGUGGGAUAAAGGUCUCUGACACGUUCCUUCCUUCGGGUUGGCCAUAUAGGGGAGACGUCAUACCACCAGCCUGGACUGAGGUCCGCGCAUCUGCUAGGAUGCUGGCGUAAUGGCUGUAAGCGGCCCGUCUUGAAACACGGACCAAGGAGUCUAACAUCUAUGCGAGUGUUUGGGUGUCAAGCCCGAGCGCGUAAUGAAAGUGAACGGAGGUGGGAACCCGCAAGGGUGCACCAUCGACCGAUCCUGAAGUUUACGGAAGGAUUUGAGUAAGAGCAUGGCUGUUGGGACCCGAAAGAUGGUGAACUAUGCUUGAAUAGGGUGAAGCCAGAGGAAACUCUGGUGGAGGCUCGCAGCGGUUCUGACGUGCAAAUCGAUCGUCAAAUUUGGGCAUAGGGGCGAAAGACUAAUCGA
rnacentral:rRNA from 2 species